GGUCGGGUAGCUCAGUUGGUAGAGCACUGGAUUGAAAAUCCAGGUGUCGGCGGUUCAAGCCCGCCCCCGACCA
rnacentral:tRNA from 2 species